rnacentral:rRNA from 1 species
GAUGAACGCUGGCGGCGUGCCUAAUUCAUGCAAGUCGAGCGAACAGACGAGGAGCUUGCUCCUCUGACGUUAGCGGCGGACGGGUGAGUAACACGUGGAUAACCUACCUAUAAGACUGGGAUAACUUCGGGAAACCGGAGCUAAUACCGGAUAAUAUAUUGAACCGCAUGGUUCAAUAGUGAAAGACGGUUUUGCUGUCACUUAUAGAUGGAUCCGCGCCGCAUUAGCUAGUUGGUAAGGUAACGGCUUACCAAGGCAACGAUGCGUAGCCGACCUGAGAGGGUGAUCGGCCACACUGGAACUGAGACACGGUCCAGACUCCUACGGGAGGCAGCAGUAGGGAAUCUUCCGCAAUGGGCGAAAGCCUGACGGAGCAACGCCGCGUGAGUGAUGAAGGUCUUCGGAUCGUAAAACUCUGUUAUUAGGGAAGAACAAAUGUGUAAGUAACUAUGCACGUCUUGACGGUACCUAAUCAGAAAGCCACGGCUAACUACGU